UUUAAAACAACGCUGUUCCUGAGACACAAUGAAACUACAGCAGCCGGAAGUUCGAAAGCUGAAGGUCAGAUGGCGGCAGCAGCUCGCGAACAGCUCAUGUCUGGGAAACACCAGGCGUGUGCGGUGACGCAACCAAGCAGGACGCCAGACUGUCACAAUCAAAAGACGUUUAAAUUUCACUGACAAACUCCCACGGACCUCCUGAAAUGACUCAUUUCACCAAACGCGGGAGGGUUACCUUGCUGUUAUCUAACUAAGUUCAAGAACUGACACUGCACUCCAAAGAAAAUUACCUGCAAGGCUGGAAAACAGCCGUCGGUCGCGGCCAAUUGAAAAUUUACCGCAGAAAAGCAAGCGAGGGGGCGGUGCGAGAACAACCUGUAAAAACAAACGCAAUUUUCUAUUUUUUUAAAUCCGACUUUGCUUGCAACUGCUCGAAGAUAAGGGAGUCUGAUGACGCCCGCAGAACAAAACUAAACACAAUAACACGUUCUUAAAAAAAUCAUUAUAAUUUGUUUCCUUUACAAAAGCAAGCAAAGACGUGUAAAACAUUUUCAUUUACCGUUAGAAAGUCAUUAUCUGGUUUUAAAAAAUACCACAUUGCUAGCAGCAAUCGGAAUGCAUAGAAAUUUUAACAUUGCUAUCACACUGAAAAUCCAAGACGUUUUCAGAAAGAUGAAGUUUUAGCCCCAUAGUGCAUCGACGGAAAUCCAGACUUUUUACAGACAGAUAUUUAAAAUCUGGAAUUAAACACACCGAACUGUUAACAUGUUUUACUUCAGGGCCUGCAUAGGACAGAGUUAUCAUUUAAACUCUCACAAGAUUGCAACCAACGAACGCUUGCAAGACACCACUUCCUGGAUGGUGGCGGUAAAACAUCCCAUAAUAAUGUACAGAAUCUGAGAAUCUUUGAGGUAAGUUGCUUGCCAUCAGGGGAUAAGUCU
rnacentral:lncRNA from 1 species